rnacentral:rRNA from 1 species
GACCGUGCGAAGGUAGCAUAAUCACUAGUUUUUUAAUUGAAGGCUUGUAUGAAUGGUCGGACAAGAAAUAAGCUGUCUUUGUAAAAAUUAUUGAAUUUAACAUUUAAGUAAAAAGGCUUAAAUAAAUUAAGGGGACGAUAAGACCCUAUAAAGCUUUAUAAUUUUUUUAUUCCAUUAAGGAUAUGUUAUGAAAAUUGAUUUAAUAAAUAAGUUAUUAUGUUGGGGCGACAAAAGUAGAAUUUAUAGUAUCUGCUUUAAUUUUUUUACAAAUAAUUUUUGUAUAUUAAUUGAUCCUAUUUAUAGAUUAUAAGUUUAAGUUACUUUAGGGAUAACAGCGUAAUUUUUCCUGAGAGCCCAUAUCGAGGGAAAAGUUUGCGACCUCGAUGUUGAAUUAAAUUAUCUACUUAUGUGCAGCAGCUAAGAUAGAUGGUCUGUUCGACCUU